rnacentral:tRNA from 3 species
CGCGGGGUGGAGCAGUCUGGUAGCUCGUCGGGCUCAUAACCCGAAGGUCGCAGGUUCGAAUCCUGCCCCCGCUACUA